GUUACACAGGAACAGCGGGGCUAGUAUCACAUAAUAGUAUUGCUAGAUUGUUGUUGACACAAGGCUUUUUAGAAUAUGUUUGUUAACACAAUCACUGAAUGGCAUUUUGGACACCUUUUUGUUUUUAGUGUGGUUGAUCUUAAAUACUGAUUGAAAAUGUUGACAAUAAUUAAUAUAUCUGGGUGCAUUUCUCACUUUUUUAAGGUUUCCCAAAGCCAGAGCGUUGCGGAUAAAGUGGGAAAUUGCCCUAAGAAGGGACGGUUUUGCUGCCUCUGACAGGACACUGCUCUGCUGUGACCACUUCAGGAGGGAGGACUUUGACAGGAUGGGGCAGAAUGUCCGGCUUAGAGAUGGUGUUGUGCCAACCCUUUUCAACUUUCCAGCUCAUCUUCAAAGGUCGGUAGCAACAAGAAGCACAACCCCAGCUAAUAGAGUGGAAGACAACCCGGCAAUGGACUUGAGGCCUGAUGUUGGAGCUACUGGAGAGAGGAGAUUGAGCCGCAAGCGGCAGGCCGCUGACGGCCACUUGUAUGCAUUGCCUGCUUGCCCUACGGCUGUGAAGGCCAAACCUGAAGAAGCCUCAGCGAGAGUGAGGGAAAACUGCAGCGGGAGAAGAUCAAUGGCUUCAGGAGAGAAAACGGGGCCAAGAACAACAUGCAGGCUGUUCUGGAGGAACUGAAGGAGAAAGAUCUCACCAACGAAGAGCUGAAAGAGAAGCUUGAAUUCUAUUCAGAUCUUCCGGUUCAUCUCCUGUCGAGGCAGGGCGUAGAGUACACCAAGGACCAGACAGAUUUUGCCCUUACGCUCCAUCUGCAUGGUCCAAAGGCAUAUCACUACCUGAGAGAUACUCUGCACAUUCACCUGCCACAUCCCAGUUCAUUGCAAAGGCAUACAGCCCAAUUAGAAGCAUAACUGGCAGUAUCAACUGGAAGUACAUAGUUCAGCUGAACAAUGUCCAAAAGAAAAGUGGACUACAUUCUGCCAACCGAGUCACAGAUAAGCAUCUGAGCUUUGCUAAUCAGAAGAUGAAGGUCUCCCUGGCUGCUCAGACUUUGAGUAACUCUGUGGCAGUGGCGCUCCCGCCUUGCAGGACGCGGGCUAUGCAGAGUUCAAAGAUUGUGAGGCUACUUCUGAAUUAAUUAAGGUUCCUCUCUGUCCUGGGCUUCGUCGUAAACAUUGACACGUUGAUGUCUAUGGUUCCUGUGCUGCUUGAAGGACAGCGAUAUGUCCUGACCUACAGAUUCAGCCAGGACCAUUUGGAA